rnacentral:rRNA from 1 species
CCUACGGGUGGCAGCAGUAGGGAAUGUUGCGCAAUGGGCGAAAGCCGGACGCAGCAACGCCGCGUGAACGAGACGAACGUCGGGGUGGAAAGGGCUGGGAGGGGGGACGAAAGAUGACGGUACCCACAGAGGAAGCACCGGCUAACGCCGUGCCAGCAGCCGCGGUAAUACGGAGGGUGCAAGCGUUGUCCGGAAGCAUUGGGCGUAAAGAGUUCGUAGGCGGUAUGUUAAGUCUGGUGUUAAAUGCAGAAGCUCAACUUCUGAUCGGCACUGGAUACUGGCAAACUAGAAUGCGGUAGAGGUAACGGGAAUUCCUGGUGUAGCGGUGAAAUGCUUAGAUAUCAGGAGGAACAUCGGUGGCGUGGGCGCUUUACUGGGCCGUAAUUGACGCUGAGGAACGAAAGCCCGGGUAGCACAUGGGAUUAGAUACCCUAGUAGUC